rnacentral:rRNA from 1 species
ACGAACGCUGGCGGCAGGCCUAAAACAUGCAAGUCGAACGCUCUAGCAAUAGAGAGUGGCGCACGGGUGCGUAACACGUGGGAAUAUGCCUUUUGGUACGGAACAACGUCUGGAAACGGACGCUAAUACCGUAUGGUCCCUUCGGGGUAAAGAUUUAUCGCCAAAAGAGUAGCCCGCGCUGGAUUAGCUAGUUGGUGAGGUAAUGGCUCACCAAGGCGACGAUCCAUAGCUGGUCUGAGAGGACGAUCAGCCACACUGGGACUGAGACACGGCCCAGACUCCUACGGGAGGCAGCAGUUAGGAAUAUUGGACAAUGGGGGCAAGCCUGAUCCAGCCAUGCCGCGUGGGUGAUGAAGGCCCUAGGGUUGUAAAGCCCUUUCGGCGGGGAAGAUAAUGACGGUACCCGCAGAAGAAGCCCCGGCUAACUUCGU